rnacentral:lncRNA from 1 species
AAAAGAGGAAAGAAAAAAAGGGAGGAAAGGAAAAAAAAGAGAGAAGAGAGAUCGGGGAAAAGAGAAGGUUCGAGAGAGAGAGAGAUGAGCCGGAGCGGAGAGGAGAGAGAAGAGAGAGAGGAGGAGACAGAGGACGGUGACAGAGCAAGCCAAGGGAAGGAGGAAAAUGGAGACAGGAGGUACGGUAAAAUUUUGAGUUCUUGUAUAGGUGUGGAGUGAUUUCGAAUCUGUGAUCUUAAGUUGAGAAAUCUAGGUUCCGUUUAGUAUGUAGAGCAAUAGACUACGAGGUAGAGACAAGUGGUUGUGGAUGGCAGGUGGAAUUGUGGAGGUGCUCACGGAGGAGGCCGCGAGAAGAGAGAGAAUGAAGAUGUUAGAGAGUGGGAGAGAUCCGUGAGAGAGUGUGGUUAUUUUGUGUAACAUGAGUGUGAGUACAUAGUGAAGGCCACGGGAGGAGAGAGUGAACGAGGAGGUCGGUGAGUG